GAAAGCUGUGCUAAUACCGCAUGUGAUCUGUGGAUGAAAGCAGGGGACUUGGUAGCAAUACUGGGCCUUGUGCGAUUGGAGCGGCCGAUGUCAGAUUAGCUAGUUGGUAGGGUAAAAGCCUACCAAGGCGACGAUCUGUAGCUGGUCUGAGAGGACGACCAGCCACACUGGGACUGAGACACGGCCCAGACUCCUACGGGAGGCAGCAGUGGGGAAUUUUGGACAAUGGGCGCAAGCCUGAUCCAGCAAUGCCGCGUGCAGGACGAAGGCCUUCGGGUUGUAAACUGCUUUUGUACGGAGCGAAACGGUCUGGGUUAAUACCCUAGGCUAAUGACGGUACCGUAAGAAUAAGCACCGGCUAACUACGUGCCAGCAGCCGCGGUAAUACGUAGGGUGCGAGCGUUAAUCGGAAUUACUGGGCGUAAAGCGUGCGCAGGCGGUUUUGUAAGACAGGCGUGAAAUCCCCGGGCUCAACCUGGGAAUGGCGCUUGUGACUGCAAAGCUAGAGUGCGGCAGAGGGGGAUGGAAUUCCGCGUGUAGCAGUGAAAUGCGUAGAUAUGCGGAGGAACACCGAUGGCGAAGGCAAUCCCCUGGGCCUGCACUGACGCUCAUGCACGAAAGCGUGGGGAGCAAACAGGAUUAGAUACCCU
rnacentral:rRNA from 1 species